CGCCCCUCUCGAGUUCCAGAACACCAAGCUCAUGACCCGUCUCACCUACACCCUCGACGAGAUCGAGGGUCCCUUCGAGGUUACACCUGACGGAACGGUCAAAUUCGAGGAGAAAGACGGGAUCGACUAUGCUGCUGUGACGGUUCAGCUUCCCGGGGGUGAGCGUGUGCCGUUCCUCUUCACCAUCAAACAGUUGGUGGCCACUGGGAAGCCAGAAAGCUUCAGUGGGGACUUCCUUGUUCCCUCUUACCGAGGUUCCUCUUUCUUGGAC
rnacentral:lncRNA from 1 species